rnacentral:rRNA from 1 species
UACGUAGGUGGCAAGCGUUAUCCGGAUUUAUUGGGCGUAAAGAGAACGCAGGCGGUCUUUUAAGUCUGAUGUGAAAGCCUUCGGCUUAACCGGAGUAGUGCAUUGGAAACUGGGAGACUUGAGUGCAGAAGGGGAGAGUGGAACUCCAUGUGUAGCGGUGAAAUGCGUAGAUAUAUGGAAGAACACCAGUGGCGAAAGCGGCUCUCUGGUCUGUAACUGACGCUGAGGGUCGAAAGCGUGGGUAGCAAACAGG